UCUUCAGAUGAGACCACUGUCCCAGCUGUCAGCUUGGCUACAGCUUCAGGAGAGACCUUGAAUAAGACAUACCUAGCUAAGCUGUACCCAGAUUCCUGACCUAAGAAACAUUCAGAAUGAUAUGGCUGAGUAGGAUUACUCAGUGGCUUUUGAUAACACUGCAUUCAAAUGACUUGUCCUAUUGUUCUGAUUUCUAUUGGACCCACAUUUUUCAUUUUCUAUGUCAGAGACACAAAAAUUGGAAUCUUAAAGAUGAAGAGGAAAUGAUGGAAAACGAGAGGAGAACCAUGUGAUUAGACAUCUAAAUGGAGAGUAGAGAGGAAGUGCCAGCUCCAGGCCAAGACCUUAGAAGCCUGCAGGUUUCUCACUCUUACAACUCUGCCAUCAAUGGGGACACACUCAGACUGGGCUGCUGUAGAAACACAGACACGUGGAGCACAGCUAACCUGCCCUAUUUGUCUAAGUGGAAGCCAUCGUCGAUCAUGCAGCAGCUGAUCCCCAGACCCCAAGCCCAACCAAGAACAGCAGAACCAUUUA